ensembl:lncRNA
GUAAGUAUUCUGAUUAAUUAUUUUGUAUAGUAUUUUAAAAUGUAACGCCAGUACGCCAUAUCUCUUGACGUCUCCCCGGUUGCCUGCGAGCUCCUCCUCCUGUCUGUACGGUAAUUUCUCUACUGUGCGACAGAGAGUCGAGUGGUUAUGACGCAAUCGUUAGCCUAUUUUUACAAAAACUGUUUCUACGGGGCCAUAAUGUAACAUAGAAGGUAAUGGAGCCCUUUAUACAUUGUCGUGUAUCUUUAGAAAUAAAUAAUGGACAAAUGGAGUCUUUAAACGCCUCAGAUGUAAAGUUAUUCGCUGUCAAAGUGACGCCAAAAAUGAAUGGGAGUCAAUGGGAUGCUAACAGCAGGUGAAGUUCUGCUACAAGAUGGCGGCACGCGGCCGACUUCAACUUCCGGUCGACUUCCUUCCCCCCUGGUUCUACUUUCACUUUCAUUUUAGCGUGAUUUUGGGUGGAGUGUGUCAAUUAACGGCGGAAGGGAGUUGUAUUUAAAGGGAGCGUAUCGUACCUGAAAGAGAGGCGUCAUUCGUUUGUUUGCACAUGAGGGUUGCCCGUAUGAGAGAUGGUUUACGGUGGAAAGACGGCUGCGUGUCAAUCCGCUGUUCCAUGGUUAUGAUGUCUGGUGCGUGACUGAAGCAUUGCACUUCCAGACCAACUGUCAUGAGCAGUCCUGAAGACAAGGCAAAAACCGCUUAUCCACCUAUCUUGGUGUCUGGUGACCCGCGAUACUCAUUGGUGCCUUCAAUACCUGCAAACGUGACCAGAGACCGCUAGUGGGAACGUGUGGUCAUUGCUUAUUUUGUUUUAUUUGAUUUAUUUGUUUGUUGUCCAUUUCGGUUUUCUGUGUUAUUAUGAUUGUGAACAUAUGGCAGAAUAAAUAUCCUGAUGACCUUUAGUCUGGGAUUAUUAUUAUAAUUUGUGUAACAGGUGGUUAUUUUUCUGCUAUCCUGGGUUAAGUUAAUUUUUGACAGGUUUAAUCCUGUCUGGCGCCCGAAGGUUUUUUUCUUCUUUAAAAUAGUAUUGGAAUUAGGGCGGCUACCACCGUUAUAAUAGAUAAUUACCUG